GGAAGCAUAGCUCAGAUGGUUAGAGUACUUGCUUGACAUGCAAGGGGUCGCUGGUUCGAAUCCAGCUGUUUCCACCA
rnacentral:tRNA from 1 species